CCUACGGGUGGCAGCAGUAGGGAAUCUUUCACAAUGGGCGAAAGCCUGAUGGAGCAACGCCGCGUGCAGGAUGAAGGCCUUCGGGUUGUAAACUGCUUUUAUAAGCGAGAAAUAUGAUGCUAACUUAUGAAUAAGGAUCGGCUAACUACGUGCCAGCAGCCGCGGUCAUACGUAGGAUCCGAGCAUUAUCCGGAGUGACUGGGUGUAAAGAGUUGCGUAGGUGGCAUAAUAAGUAGCUAGUGAAAUCUGGUGGCUCAACCAUUCAGACUAUUAGCUAAACUGUUAAGCUCGAGACCGUUAGAGGUAAGUGGAAUUUGUAGUGUAGGGGUGAAAUCCGUAGAUAUUAGAAGGAACACCAAUAGCGUAGGCAGGUUGCUGGGACGGUUCUGACACUAAGGCACGAAAGCGUAGGGAGCAAACGGGAUUAGAUACCCGAGUAGUC
rnacentral:rRNA from 1 species